rnacentral:rRNA from 1 species
GAUGAACGCUGGCGGCGUGCCUAAUACAUGCAAGUCGAGCGAACGGACGGGGAUCUUUCUUCUCUUAUGUUAGCGGCGGGCGGGUGAUGAACACGUGGAUAACCUACCUAUAAGACUGGGAUAAGUUCGGGAAACCGGAUCUAAUACCGGAUAAUAUUUUGAACCUGAUGGUUCAAAAGUGCAAGAGGGUCUUGCUGUCACUUAUAGAUGUAUGCGCGCUGCAUUAGCUAGUUGGUAAGGUAACGGCUUACCAAGGCAACGAUGCAUAGCCGACCUGAGAGGAUGAUCGGCCACACUGGAACUGAGACACGGUCCAGACUCCUACGGGAGGCAGCAGUAGGGAAUAUUCCGCAAUGGGCGAAAGCCUGACGGAGCAACGCCGCGUGAGUGAUGAAGGUCUUCGGAUCGUAAAACUCUGUUAUUAGGGAAGAACAUAUGUGUAAGUAACUGUGCACAUCUUGACGGUACCUACUCAGAAAGCCACGGCUAACUACGUG